CACUUCGCCCCGGCCCGCCCCCCCGAUCUGCGCAUGCCCAGUGACGGGAAAGGCCAGCCUGAGAGUCAGGAACUACAUUUCCCAGCCUGCCUCGGGGUGCUUCCGCCCGUUCCAGCCCAGAGGCCAAGAACGACCCUGCGGCUGCCCAUGACUCCUUUCCGUAAGAGCUGCUUGGCAGGCUGUUUUCUGUGGGCCGACUAGCUCAGCCUGUGAGAGCGUGGUGCUAAUAAUGCCCAAGGACGGCAGACCAGAUAAGCAGCUGCUCCGAAACGGACCCUCCGCCUCCCGUCCGCCAUGCUGCUUCUCUCCUCAAGAAAACACUAGCUGUGGACAGUCCAAAGGGAUCCCCCUGCCUACCUCUGCUCAU